UUAUACGUGAAAAUACUAGACUAACUCAUAAACUUUUGUAAUUACUAGACUAACUCAUAAGACCAAUAAAAGUACCAAAAACCUCUUCCCUUCAUGUUCACAAGUGUGCCAUAAAAUAAGUUAUUAUUAGGUUAAUGUUUUAUUUUUCACCAAAAGUCUCAUUUUCUCUCGACGCCGACAAGGAAGUUGGAUUCUCUUCACUUACGUCCCCGGCGACUUCUCCCCUGUUAUAGCCUCCUUUUGUUUCGUCAUGCCCAGCCUAACUAGCCGUCGUCUCUGCCAUACAAGAAGAACUCCAAAUCCGAUUUCACUUUAUCAAAUCCUCUUUCCAAUCGAAGAAAAUUGAACAUUAUCAUUGGAUCAGUGAUUUUGAGCUUUGGAUUCUACACUGUGAUUUGGGGAAAAAAAAAGAGGAUUCAACUAAAUCUGUAGCAGGCUCUGAGAAGUCACAGUUACACACCAUAGAAGAUGAACCUCAUCACCUCAUCAUUAAGAUGUGACUGAUGCAAGUGGAGUAGUACUUUUCAAUAGAUAUGGAGCCAUUAAAAUAUAUUGUCCCCAGUAUUUCUUACGUGCAUAUGUAUUAGUAUCAUUUAGUACAUCAAUACUUUGUAAAGAAGCUCUGCAACAUCAGCUAAAAUUAUUAGCAUUAUAGUUUAUAUAACUAUAUAUAUGGUUCCCUUGUUAUUGUUCUUUAUAAUAUACCCUGAAUAAAUAAGCAAAGCCUUCUUCUA